UUUGGUAGAUUUUAAGUUCCAAUCGCCACUUUACAGACAGGUAUGGUCACAUCCUUUUUUCUUUUAGAAACAUUUUAUUGUGAAUUGAUGGAAGAUGCUUGUCUUCAUUUUCCUUUUUUAUGUUUGAUUCUGAUUGUAAAAGUGCUGAUGUCCAACUUUGUUUCUUAAAAAUACUUAGACAGUAGAGCUUCUAAGUCAAAUUACAUAUGAAUGAACUAAUCCAUGCAAUAUUGUGAGAUAUUUCUACAUCAUGACAUGCACUUGGAAGUGCAUUGUUAUCUUUGUGCAACUGCAUAUAGAAUUGCAAAAAUACUAAUGCAAUAUAAUGUUUUUGAAGUGGUUGAAAUUUGGAUCUUAGAAAUUAAUUUGCUAAAGUAGAUUACAAUUUGCACGGGUGAUGGAUCUGUGCACUCUCAAAAAGCUAUAUACACUAUCCAUAUAUGUGCUAAUUGCCCAUCCAUUCAAUCGGGGUGAAAAAAAACCUGGAUGCCCCUUGUUGAAUACAAUAUCAUAACUUUCAUUAUCAACGAUGUUGGACUACUAAAAAUUUUAGAGAUGCAUCCUGUGCUUUUCAUAGAAGUUUGCUGCUUUAGGUAAAAUUCCUUAAAACACUGAUGUACAAGACCACUUUUUAGAAAGCUUGAGAUACCAAUUUGUAAAUCAAAAUUGCAAUUUUGAGAGGCAGUUUGUUAGAAACAAUGUUUAUGCUAUCAUGAAUACUUUACUCCUUGAUUUUAUUGUUUAGUCAUGUGUGUGGGUCGAUGAACUCCUGUUCUUGGUGUAUGUCUUCUAUUUACAAGAGGUGACUAUAAUGGGACUCUAUCAGUGUUAUCAAGGAGAAAGGCGAUAGUA
rnacentral:misc_RNA from 1 species